rnacentral:rRNA from 1 species
AUGGGACAUAAUUAUUACGGGGAACCCGCAUGGCCCAACGAUCUUUUAUAUAAUUUUCCAGUAGUAAUUCUAGGUACUAUUGCAUGUAAUGUAGGUUUAGCGGUUCUCGAGCCAUCAAUGAUUGGUGAACCGGCCGCCCGGGUUAAUAAAACUGAGAAAAUUAACUCGGAAAGAAAUAUUUUGGAAGCUCCGUUGCGGGAUUCAGACCUAACCAUUCAAGGAGAAGCAAUAGUGAGUUUUCUCUUGACACUGCUUGCAUCGGGUGAUCUAACGCACCUCGAAAUCCAACAUGUGAUGCGA